CACCUCAUUGACUGGAAGGAAUUCCUUCUGGUCGAUGGGGUUGUUAUACCUCAUUGACCAGAAGGAAUCCCUUCUGGUCGAUGAGGCAUAAUAACUCCAUCAACCGGAAGGAAUUCCUUUUGGUCGAGGAGGUU
rnacentral:miRNA from 1 species